rnacentral:rRNA from 1 species
CAGUAGCCACGGGAAUACGAAGGGUGCAAGCGUUACUCGGAAUUACUGGGCGUAAAGCGUGCGUAGGUGGUUGUUUAAGUCUGCUGUGAAAGCCCUGGGCUCAACCUGGGAAUUGCAGUGGAUACUGGGUCACUAGAGUGUGGUAGAGGAUAGUGGAAUUUCCGGUGUAGCAGUGAAAUGCGUAGAGAUCGGAAGGAACAUCUGUGGCGAAGGCGACCACCUGGACUGAUACUGACACUGAGGUGCGAAAGCGUGGGGAGCAAACAGGAUUAGAUACCCGCGUAGUCCCUGUCUCUUAUAC